ensembl:misc_RNA 7SK 7SK RNA
AGAUAUGAGGGCAAGCUGGCUGUGAGAGCUGUCACCCCCAUUGAUUUCCAGGAUGAAUCUGGCUGAUCUGGCUGGCUAGCAGAUGUCCAUUUCCUUUCUCACCACCCCAUGAGCCCUCCUCCCAAAUCUGCAAGCUUAGUUACAGAGGACGACCGACCUGCCCUGGCAGAGGAGGACAUUCUUCAUUCAAGGGUAUACGAGUAGCUGGCUCCCCUGCUAGGACCUCCAAACAAGACUUUAAGGUCCAUUUGUAGGAGAACAUAGGACAGGCAAGUUUCCAAGUCUCCAAAUACAUCUAAACGAGGGGCUGCAUGUGGCAGUCUGCUUU